AAUGCGUUUUGAGAUGGUCCUGAGUCCUAUCAGGUAGUUGGCGGGAUAAUAGCCCACCAAGCCUAUGACGGGUAUCCGGCCUGAAAGGGUGAACGGACACACUGGAACUGAGACACGGUCCAGACUCCUACGGGAGGCAGCAGUGGGGAAUUUUGGACAAUGGGCGAAAGCCUGAUCCAGCGACGCCGCGUGGAGGACGAAGGUCUUCGGAUUGUAAACUCCUUUUGCAGGGGAAGAAAAAAAUGACGGUACCCUGUGAAUAAGCCACGGCUAACUACGUGCCAGCAGCCGCGGUAAUACGUAGGUGGCGAGCAUUACUCGGAAUUACUAGGCGUAAAGCGUAUGUAGGCUGUUAAAUAAGUCUUUAGUGAAAUUUCCCGGCUCAACCGGGAAAGGCCUAAGGAUACUGUUUGGCUUGAGUGUGGGAGGGGGAAACGGAAUUCCUGGUGUAGCGGUGAAAUGCGUAGAUAUCAGGAGGAACACCGAUGGCGAAAGCAGUUUCCUGGACCAAUACUGACGCUGAUGUACGAAAGCUAGGGUAGCAAACAGGAUUAGAUACCCUGGUAGUCCUAGCUGUAAACGAUGUUCACUAGAUGUGGGAGGUAUCGACCCCUUCCGCGUCGACGCUAACGCAUUAAGUGAACCGCCUGGGGAGUACGGCCGCAAGGUUGAAACUCAAAGGAAUUGACGGGGGCCCGCACAAGCGGUGGAGUAUGUGGUUUAAUUCGACGCAACGCGAAAAACCUUACCUGGGCUUGAACUGUUAGUGGUAGAAACCGGAAACGGCGACGACCCGCAAGGGAGCUAACAGAGGUGCUGCAUGGCUGUCGUCAGCUCGUGUCGUGAGAUGUUGGGUUAAGUCCCGCAACGAGCGCAACCCUUAUCCCAUGUUACCUAUAGCAAUAUAGGGUCUCUGAGGAAACUGCCAUUGAUAAAAUGGAGGAAGGUGGGGACGACGUCAAGUCAUCAUGGCCUUUAUGUCCAGGGCUACACACGUACUACAAUGGUCGGUACAGAGGGACGCAAGACCGUAAGGUGGAGCAAAUCCCAAAAAGCCGGCCUCAGUUCAGAUUGUGGGCUGCAAUUCGCCCACAUGAAGUAGGAAUC
rnacentral:rRNA from 1 species